UACAGAGGUCCCAAGCGUUGUUCGGAUUCACUGGGCGUAAAGGGUGCGUAGGCGGUCGGGUAAGUCUGACGUGAAAUCUCCGGGCCUAACCCGGAAACUGCGUUGGAAACUGCCUGGCUAGAGGAAUGGAGGGGAGACUGGAAUACUUGGUGUAGCAGUGAAAUGCGUAGAUAUCAAGUGGAACACCAGUGGCGAAGGCGAGUCUCUGGACAUUUCCUGACGCUGAGGCACGAAAGCCAGAGGAGCAAACGGG
rnacentral:rRNA from 1 species